GCAGGAAUAGUACGGCCCUUACCUUGUUCCUUUGUACCGUUGCAGAACUGCCCUUGUGAUGAAAGUGUCUAACCAAUCAGAUAGGACUACAUGUGUCCAAUCAUAGACCUUGUUAGAAUACCACACGUGUGACACUGGGAUCGAGUGGCAGAACAAUCUUCCCUCUUCUUCCCUGGGAUCGAGUUUGGUAUGGCAGAACGGUCGUUUGUUUAUAAUAUAACUGAUUUCUGAGGAAUUGAUAAAGCAGAGAAACACCCAAGAGAAAAGGAUUUAGCAAAAGCCAGGUUAUGUUCCCUUACUGGAGUCCGUCCUAAGACGGAGACAAGCCAUUAAGAGGGGCUUCACCACCUUGAUUAUCUCAUCCUGACCAAGUCAUUGCACUGCAGUUGUCCACACAUCACAGUUGGUUAUUGCCCUUGACAAAUACUGCAGAGGAAUUCCCUUUUAAUUUAUUUCAGGCAGUGUCAAAUUUUGUUAUUCAAUGUCAAAGGUGCCAAGGUUAACAAAAUUGAACCAGAGAUUUUGUCAUCUUUAGCUCUAAGGCGGCACCAAGCAAAUAGUCCAGUUUUGAAUUCAACUAUGCCAUUGGAAUUAAAAACACAUAUAAAGACAGUGUGAGCCUAAGUUUCAGAUUAUUGGUUCACAAAUAACAUCGAAAUCAUGAAGAAUUCACAUGUUUUACAUUGUUUUAUUUCAAGCUCUAGGAGAUUUUCACUUGUAUGUUACACUUGACUUAUACUACCUUUGUCCAUCUAUUCAGCAGGCAUGAUGGAUUUCCAAAUUUGAUUACUGAAGCAACCUUUGUCACAUCAUAGCUUUUAAUGUUCUGUUGUAGUUAUGUAACUAUUUAUUUGCAUAAUAUUUCAAUAAAUCACAUGUUUCCGUGAUGA